rnacentral:rRNA from 1 species
UGGGGAAUCUUGGACAAUGGGCGCAAGCCUGAUCCAGCCAUGCCGCGUGGAUGAUGAAGGCCUUAGGGUUGUAAAAUCCUUUCGUGGGGGACGAUAAUGACGGUACCCCAAGAAGAAGCUCCGGCUAACUUCGUGCCAACAGCCGCGGUAAUACGAAGGGGGCUAGCGUUGUUCGGAUUUACUGGGCGUAAAGCGCGUGUAGGCGGGUCGUUAAGUUGGGGGUGAAAUCCCGAGGCUCAACCUCGGAACUGCCUUCAAAACUGGCGACCUGGACCCAAGUAGAGGCAAGUGGAAUUGCGAGUGUAGAGGUGAAAUUCGUAGAUAUUCGCAGGAACACCAGUGGCGAAGGCGACUUGCUGGACUUGUGGUGACGCUGAGACGCGAAAGCGUGGGGAGCAAACAGGAUUAGAUACCCGAGUAGUCCCUGAGCGGGCUGGCAAGGCGCAU